rnacentral:rRNA from 1 species
GACAGAGGUGCCGAGCGUUAGGCGGAAUCACUGGGCUUAAAGCGUGUGUAGGCGGGUCGUUAAGUACCUUGUGAAAUCCCCCGGCUCAACCGGGGAAUGGCUGGGUAUACUGGCGAUCUUGAGCGAUCCAGGGGCAGAUGGAACAAGUGGUGGAGCGGUGAAAUGCGUAGAUAUCACUUGGAACGCCAAAGGUGAAGACAGUCUGCUGGGGAUCUGCUGACGCUGAGACACGAGAACCAGGGGAGCGAACGGG